AGAGUUUGAUCAUGGCUCAGGACGAACGCUGGCGGCGUGCCUAAUGCAUGCAAGUCGCACGCAGCACCUUCGGGUGCUGAGUGGCGCACGGCUGAGGAACACGUGGGAACCAGCCCUCCAGUGGGGGAUAACGGCGCGAAAGCGCCGCUAAUCCCGCAUACGUUCGGCCCAUUCGGGUCGAGGAAAGCCUAACGGCGCUGGAGGCUGGGCCCGCGGCCCAUCAGGUUGUUGGUGGGGUAACGGCCUACCAAGCCACUGACGGGUAGCUGGUCUGUGAGGACAACCAGCCAGACUGGGACUGAGACACGGCCCAGACUCCUACGGGAGGCAGCAGCAAGGAAUUUUCGGCAAUGGGCGCAAGCCUGACCGAGCAACGCCGCGUGCAGGACGACGGCCUUCGGGUUGUAAACUGCUUUUGGGGGGGAAGAAACGGACGGUACCCCCCGAAUAAGCCACGGCUAACUCUGUGCCAGCCGCCGCGGUAAUAC
rnacentral:rRNA from 1 species